rnacentral:lncRNA from 1 species
ACACAGCAACCCUCAGCUCGCCUUCACACCGCUCUCAAGAAAGAAAGGUAUGCGAUUUUAACAAAUUCUUACCUAAAGUGCGUACAAGUAUUUAAGGUGGUUUUAAAAGCAAGAGUUCUUGUUAAAGGAAAAUAUUUCAGUUUGUUGUAUUAUUUUACAACUAGAUUCCCAGAAAGAUGUUAUUUUGAGCUUUAGCUUGAAUAACCAGAAAGUUUGUCAUGUUUUUAUGACCAGAAAGAUUGUCAUAUAUAUUUAUAUGACCAGAAAGUUU